rnacentral:lncRNA from 1 species
CCUAUCUCUCCUAGACCUCUCCUCGUCUCACUCCAUCUCUCCGUCCAGCUUAAAUUAGAACCCAAUUCUGCAUAUUGAAACUAUCUAUUUGAGCAUGUAAUUUCAGUCUUUAGGCUUUCAAUUUAUAUUUUUAUUUACAUUAAUCCAACAAAAACAAAAUGUAUUUCUCUCAUCUUCCCCUAAUUUUGGUCUGAUUUCCUCUAUUUCUCUACUCCCUCUAACAUACCCUAAAUUUUGACUUGUCGAUAAGUGGUUUGUGGCGGCAGCAGUGUAUUCCCUCCUCCUCUUCCUUUGUUGUCCCUAAAUUAAAGGUUAAUUUUUAAUUUUGUGUGUUUACUAUUAAGAAACCUAAUAUUAUUUGUACCUACCUGUGUGUAUUUUAUUGUAUAUCUUGUUCUGUAGUAAUUAGGAAAGCUUACAACGUGUUUGAUAAAUUGCCUACUCGAACUAUAUCUCUCUUCCCCCUGCUUUUAUUGCAGUUAAUCUUUCUUGGACUAUACAGAUGGCCUGUUAAAGCAUAUUGGUUACGGUCGAUAAUGUAUAUGGAUGAUAGUUUAUCCUUGUACACCUACACAUUUUAUUCAACCCUGCUUGUUCUUACUAAAUUAAUGCAUUGGGUUUUGUCGAGAAAGAAGUUAUUUCAUCUUCAGUGUCUCGUUUGAAAUAAAUUCCUUUGUUAAAACAUAAGUAAUUCAGCACAACUUUCCACUUUUUAAAUCAUUGUAUGUAAAUACUGAUGUAAUAGUAGAUCUCUUGCCCCUUAAUUUGUUAUUAGCCUACUGCAACUGGUAUAUUCUUAAAUACGUUUGUUUGUUGUGC